UACGGAGGGGGCUAGCGUUGUUCGGAAUUACUGGGCGUAAAGCGCACGUAGGCGGCUUGGUAUGUCGGGUGUGAAAUCCCCGGGCUCAACCUGGGAACUGCAUCCGAAACUGCCUUGCUAGAGUAUGGGAGAGGGAAGUGGAAUUUCCGGUGUAGCGGUGAAAUGCGUAGAUAUCGGGAGGAACACCAGUGGCGAAGGCGGCCAUCUGGACGGUGACUGACGCUGAGACGCGAAAGCGUGGGGAGCAAACAGG
rnacentral:rRNA from 1 species